UACGGAGGGGGCUAGCGUUGUUCGGAAUUACUGGGCGUAAAGCGCACGUAGGCGGCUUGGUAAGUUAGAGGUGAAAGCCUGGAGCUCAACUCCAGAAUUGCCUUUAAGACUGCCGAGCUAGCAGGUGAGAGAGGUGAGUGGAAUUCCGAGUGUAGAGGUGAAAUUCGUAGAUAUUCGGAAGAACACCAGUGGCGAAGGCGGCUCACUGGCUCAUACUGGACGCUGAGGUGCGAAAGCGUGGGGAGCAAACCGG
rnacentral:rRNA from 1 species